rnacentral:tRNA from 1 species
GAAAUAUUGGUAAGAACUUCUAAUUCUUUUUUUAAAUGCUUAAAAUCAUUUAUAUUUCU